ACACCGCAUCCGCUGUUUUCGAGAUGUUUGUGUAUUUUUGGUUAGACUUUUAGCGGCUCGCACAGCAGUGGGGAAACAGCGGUCCAGUUGUUGACGUUUCUCGGACUGUCAUUUGUUUUUCAUUGUGUUGUUUCUUGUGGAAAUCGGCGGCACAGCUUGUGGCCCGCGAGCGCGGGCGUGUGGGAUGGCGUGGGCCGCAUGUGGCCGUGGCUGUGACCCUUUGAUUGCUUUCUUUUCUCAGGGCAGGAAGAAGAAAGGCUCUCUCCAGGUGUCUCUCCUCUGUCUUUUUCCUUUCUUCUAUCAUACUGCGAGGCAACAAGGGAUAACCAGAAGCUUGGCAAGACAUGGUAUGCAUUAAUGUUGUUACAGAAGAGAGGAGUGUGAAAAAUGUCCAGAAACAGCAUACCAUUGUGCUCUUUGGUAUCACGUUCAGGGUCUGUGAAUGAAUGGGCUGGCAUUGUACAUACCCACAGGACAUUUGUAUAAACCCCUGGGACUACGAAGCAAGACAGGUGACCUCGCAUGGCAAAUGGGAACACAAGAUGAUCACAGCACCACAUACGAAAUCCUUCCAUUGGACAUGCAGCUGCAUGGCAGUAACCACACUGUAAACACUGCCAGG